rnacentral:rRNA from 1 species
AUUGAACGCUGGCGGCAUGCUUUACACAUGCAAGUCGAACGGUAACAGGUCUUUCGGGAUGCUGACGAGUGGCGAACGGGUGAGUAAUGUAUCGGAACGUGCCCAGUAGUGGGGGAUAACUACUCGAAAGAGUGGCUAAUACCGCAUGAGAUCUCUGGAUGAAAGCGGGGGACCGUAAGGCCUCGCGCUACUGGAGCGGCCGAUAUCAGAUUAGGUUGUUGGUGAGGUAAAGGCUCACCAAGCCGACGAUCUGUAGCUGGUCUGAGAGGACGACCAGCCACACUGGGACUGAGACACGGCCCAGACUCCUACGGGAGGCAGCAGUGGGGAAUUUUGGACAAUGGGCGCAAGCCUGAUCCAGCAAUGCCGCGUGCAGGACGAAGGCC